rnacentral:lncRNA from 1 species
AAAACCAGACACGAUGAAGACACCAUUGUUGUUUGUAAUUUUAUUACCGCCUGGAAAGCUUGAUAGUAAACGCCUAGGUCUUGCCCUUAAGAAGGUUAAAAAAUCAAACUCUCUUGUCCUCUUUUUUCUAUUUUUAGUACUGUUGAUUCUUGGAUUAGAUUCAUGUUUUUUGACCUAAAGAAUUAAUGGGUCUGUUUGUUUAGAUUUCUCAUUUGACACAGUUAUAACUUCUGCAUGUAGGUAAUAUUAUAUUUUUUUGGGCAUUAUGUUGGAUAAAUUUGGUUCUUUUUGGGUGUAAUUGAUUUUCUAACAUGGUGUUGGGCGAGUACGGUUGAAUGCUAUGGUUGGGUUUAUAACAGUUAUAGAUAUUAGUAAUGCAAGUGAGAGUUGACUGAAAAGUUUUCUAUUUCUAGUUGUGAAAACCAAAUCGUCUUUUCGUAAUUCAGUUUAAUUGAAGACAUUCAUGAUAUAUCCUUUUUUUGAUUUUCUCUUCUCUUUUUCUUUCUGUACCAUAUUGAACUUGUUAUCCUGCUCUUAAAUGCUUAUAUGAAUUCCUAUGUUGCUUCAAAACCCCAUUGCUUGACCACUUGUUCCAACCGCAAGAAUAUGUAGCUUAUUAGCUUUGAUGGGUCCUUGUGAUAUUUGAAGUAUUCCUUUUGCAUCUUUGUGCAAUCCAACUUUGUUCAGUUUAUGAGUUUAUCACCUGCAAUAUUUGGAGUUAGAGUAGACCACGGAUUAUGAUAGUCUCGUUUUCCAAAUAUCAGACGUAUUUGCUACUCUGAUAACAGGCACAAGCUCACAAAGCGUUUUCAUGAUGAAAUAAUUUCUCAAUAAUCACUAGGUUCAAAUUUGGCCUGGCCUGAAUUUGUGGCAGUGGGUUAGACAUCCUUGAUAUGCCGUAGUUAAAGGGUAAAUGUAGCUUGCUGCUGUUUGUAGGUUCCAUUGUUGUUGUAAACUAACUGAUUCAUUGACUGCUUUUUACGCACUCACCAAGAGUAAAAGAAAUUGUCUCUUGUUGACGCUAGUGUUAUUCUGCAUUAUGGGUACUCUUUAUUUUCCCUUGAGAAUCCUAUCUGACUUCUGUUCCUUUACAACAUAUUUAGAUACACUGGCAUGGCUCCUCUAAAUUAAUGAAAGAACUUUGAAAAAAUUGAGCAUACCUAUGUCUGUUAUGCAUUGAUAUCCAAUACUCGAUCUUGAGUCCAGGUAACGUAGAUGUUUCUUCGUUGCUUACAAAAUCAAUCCCAAUAAUAGUUACUCUUAUGCCUAAUUAGACACCAUAAGAGUGGGUUGCUACACGCGUGUAAUCAGAUGAUGACAUUAUACUGAAAAUCUGUUAGUUACUAUUGAAUUUAUAAAUUUUAUGUAUAUCAGACCUAUUGUUCCUUGAGUACAUGGUGGAGAUGCUAACCAGUUAGAUUAUGAUUGAGAUUUUGCACAAAAGUUGUUAUUAGUUAUUGCAAAU